rnacentral:misc_RNA from 1 species
AUCACUCUUCUGGGCAACUCCUAUUACUCUUCAAGGAUUUGGUUAAAAAAAAUAUUUUAUGAAUGCAUGAUUCCUAAAAUGUGAAAUGCAUUAAUUAAAUGCAAUGUUAUCUCCAGGCGCCUAGGCACUCACCUUGGUGCCCGAGCGAGGUGAAAUCUAGGCACCUCGCAUGUGAAGCCUCCAGACGGGGCAACUUCAAUUAGGAGCUGCCUAGGUGCCCAGGCGAGGCCCAAG